AUGGCCUCCAAACGGUACUCGCAGUCUGCAGGCCCCGUGGUUCUCAAGAAGCUGCCUCGUCUGGCGCCCGCCCCCAGCUGCCUGCCCGGCAAAAUCCCUGGCACAUCCAGCCCCGUGCCCCACCCUGGCUCUGGAAACCCUUUCAGCUACAAGGGCUCCUACUUUGCCUGCCCUCUGCAGAGCCCCGAGGGCCCCGAGCAGCCCCCGGCUGGCUGGAGCCCCACGCCCACCUACCUGCACUAUGGCCCUGGAGCUCUGAGCCAGCCCGUGCCGGCCGAGGGGCCACUGCUGGGCCUCCUGCUGUACCCCCCAGAGAGCCUGAGCACCAGGCUGCAGCCCCCAGACACCCAGAAGAGCCAGGACAGCCUGAGCCAGGAGCAACUUAUGGCCAGGAAGAAGCUGGACAGUCCCAGGUGCCCCUUGCCGGUGAAGAAGCCAGUAGUGGUGAAGAAGGCAGCUCCUCUGGCAGUCCCCAAGCCUGUGUACGGCGCCCCCGCCUCCUUCCUGGCUCCCAGGAUGGCUCUGCUGCUGGGAGCACAAGCAGAGAGCCUGCAGCAGCGAGCAGGGGAGGCAAACUGGGCCCUGCCUCCUGCCACCCACCCUCUGCACCCCAGCGAGCUCCACAAGACUGCUCCUGGUGCUGACCACAGCCUCCUGCCGCUGCCCUCCAGCCUGGCCCUGCCUUCCAGGGAGCAGCUGAGCUCCCCCGCUGCCUUACCCCACUACUGCCUCACCUUUGAUAAGUAUGGGCCACCCCCCAGCACCCCGUUCCUGGAAGCAAGUUGUUCCUCUGCCCAGAGCCAGAAGAAGGUGCCAGAAGUCCCCAGCCUCAGCCUGGAGCCCUGGCCCAAGCUCCAGCCACCUGACAGCAGCCCAGUGAUCCAGGAGAGGUCAGCAAUGUGCUUCCCACCUCCCCCGUACCCACUGUCACCCCACAGAUCUGGCCCCCUCUUCCACCCCCCAGCUCCCACUGUGGCGGAGCCCAGUGCCCUGCCCAGCUUUGGCUACGUGGGGAGCAGGGAGCCCUUUCCCAGCACCUACCUCAAGCCCCAGGAGCCCAGGAGUUACUUUCCCAGCCCCUUGGAGCCCUACGUGCCAAGGGCAGUGAGUGCCAGGCUGGGGGUGGCACUCAGGGAUGCCGAGGCAGCCAGGGAUGCUGAGCUGCCCAGGAACAGCGCGUACCCAGGGUUUGCCCUCAGCCCGGGCGGUGCAUCCGUGUUCCAGGGCUCCUUUCCCGGCACGGAGCCGGGCUGUGGGCAGCACAGGGCGGGCAGCCCGCAGUGGGGAGCAGCACCGAGGCACAGCAGCGCUUUCCAGCCUGUCUGCGCCCCAGAGAAGCUUUCUGGGGGCUCUGCUGGGCUCACGGAGACAUUUCCUGAGAGAGGAGGGAGCUGGGAGAAACCCAGGCAAGGGGAGGAGGAGCCCCUGUACCCAGCGAGGAGGAACAGCAGCCCAGCCCCUCAGGACAGCCCCCAUGGGGGACCAGGACAAGGAGAUGCCUGCAAGGUCACGGAUCCAGCCAAGGAGCUCAUCUGCCCUUCUCCAUCCGUGACCCCCAGCAAAGGGCUGGAGGACCUGAGGGACACCAAGGCUUUGUCAUCCUCCCCACCAAUGCCUGUGAUCCACAACGUCUUCAGCCUG
rnacentral:lncRNA from 1 species